rnacentral:rRNA from 1 species
CCGCGUGAGUGAUGACGGCCUUCGGGUUGUAAAGCUCUGUCUUUGGGGACGAUAAUGACGGUACCCAAGGAGGAAGCCACGGCUAACUACGUGCCAGCAGCCGCGGUAAUACGUAGGUGGCAAGCGUUGUCCGGAUUUACUGGGCGUAAAGGGAGCGUAGGCGGAUUUUUAAGUGGGAUGUGAAAUACCCGGGCUCAACCUGGGUGCUGCAUUCCAAACUGGAAAUCUAGAGUGCAGGAGGGGAAAGUGGAAUUCCUAGUGUAGCGGUGAAAUGCGUAGAGAUUAGGAAGAACACCAGUGGCGAAGGCGACUUUCUGGACUGUAACUGACGCUGAGGCUGGAAAGCGUGGGGAGCAAACAGGAUUAGAUACCCUG